rnacentral:rRNA from 1 species
GUGCAGCAGGCGCGAAAACUUUACAAUGCGGGAAACCGUGAUAAGGGGACACCGAGUGCCCGCAUCAUAUGCUGGCUGUCCGGAUGUGUAAAAUACAUCCGUUAGCAAGGGCCGGGCAAGACCGGUGCCAGCCGCCGCGGUAACACCGGCGGCCCGAGUGGUGAUCGUGAUUAUUGGGUCUAAAGGGUCCGUAGCCGGUUUGGUCAGUCCUCCGGGAAAUCUGAUAGCUCAACUAUUAGGCUUUCGGGGGAUACUGCCAGACUUGGAACCGGGAGAGGUAAGAGGUACUACAGGGGUAGGAGUGAAAUCUUGUAAUCCCUGUGGGACCACCUGUGGCGAAGGCGUCUUACCAGAACGGGUUCGACGGUGAGGGACGAAAGCUGGGGGCACGAACCGGAUUAGAUACCCGGGUAGUCC